AGCGAACGCUGGCGGCAGGCUUAACACAUGCAAGUCGAGCGGGCGUAGCAAUACGUCAGCGGCAGACGGGUGAGUAACGCGUGGGAACAUACCUCUUGGUUCGGAACAACACAGGGAAACUUGUGCUAAUACCGGAUAAGCCCUUACGGGGAAAGAUUUAUCGCCGAGAGAUUGGCCCGCGUCUGAUUAGCUAGUUGGUGAGGUAACGGCCCACCAAGGCGACGAUCAGUAGCUGGUCUGAGAGGAUGAUCAGCCACAUUGGGACGUGAGACACGGCCCAAACCUACCUACGGGAGGCAGCAGUGGGGAAGUAUUGGACAAUGGGCGG
rnacentral:rRNA from 1 species